rnacentral:rRNA from 1 species
CCUACGGGUGGCAGCAGUGAGGAAUAUUGGUCAAUGGACGAGAGUCUGAACCAGCCAAGCAGCGUGAAGGAUGACUGCCCUAUGGGUUGUAAACUUCUUUUAUAUGGGAAUAAAAUGUGCUACGUGUGGGAUUUUGUACGUACCAUAUGAAUAAGGAUCGGCUAACUCCGUGCCAGCAGCCGCGGUAAUACGGAGGAACCGAGCGUUAUCCGGAUGUAUUGGGGUUAAAGGGUGCGUAGGUGGAUUGUUAAGUCAGUUGUGAAAGUUUGCGGCUCAACCGUAAGAUUGCAGUUGAAACUGGCAGUCUUGAGUGCAGUAGAGGCAGGCGGAAUUCGUGGUGUAGCGGUGAAAUGCUUAGAUAUAACGAAGAACUCCGAUUGUGAAGGCAGCCUACUGGACUAUAACUGACGCUGAGGCGCGAAAGUGUGGGGAUCAAACAGGAUUAGAUACCCUUGUAGUC